rnacentral:rRNA from 1 species
GACGAACGCUGGCGGCGUGCUUAACACAUGCAAGUCGAACGAAGUGGCGAACGGGUGAGUAAAGCGUAAUCAACCUGCCCUUCAGAGGGGGACAACAGCUGGAAACGAAUGCUAAUACCGCAUACUGAAGGAGGGGAUUGCGUUUGAUUAGCUAGUUGGAGGGGUAACGGCCCACCAAGGCGAUGAUCAGCAGCCGGUCUGGUAGGGUUAACGACCACAUUUGGACUGAGACACGGCCCAGACUCCUACGGGAGGCAGCAGUGGGGAAUCGUCGGCAAUGGACGAAAGUCUGACGGAGCAACGCCGCGUGAGUGAUGACGGCCUUCGGGUUGUAAAGCUCUUUUAAUCGGGACGCGGUACCGGAAUAGAAAGCCACGGCUAACUACGUGCCAGCAGCCGCGGUAAUAC